AGGUAGUGACAAGAAAUAACAAUACGGGGCUUUAUGUCUUGUAAUUGGAAUGAUGGGACCUUAAACCUCUUCCAGAGUAUCAAUUGGAGGGCAAGUCUGGUGCCAGCAGCCGCGGUAAUUCCAGCUCCAAUAGCGUAUAUUAAAGUUGUUGCAGUUAAAAAGCUCGUAGUUGAACUUCUGCUGCGUCGGUUUCGUCCGCUUUGCGGUUUCGUUUCUGUCAUGGUUUUUUCCGUUUGCGGUCUUCCUUUGUUGGUUGGCUUGCUUCGGAUUUUUAACUUUGAGAAAAUUACAGUGUUUCUAGCAGGCUUUUGCCUUGAAUACUUCAGCAUGGAAUAAUAAAGUAGGACUUUGGUUCUAUUUUGUUGGUUUUUUGAGCCAAAGUAAUGGUUAAUAGGAACA
rnacentral:rRNA from 1 species